rnacentral:rRNA from 1 species
UACGUAGGGUGCGAGCGUUGCCCGGAUUUAUUGGGCGUAAAGGGCGCGUAGGCGGCCACGCACGUCCGUUGUGAAAUCGCCCGGCUCAACUGGGCGGGGUCAGCGGAUACGGUGUGGCUCGAGCAAGCUAGGGGGCAAUGGAAUUCCCGGUGUAGUGGUGGAAUGCGUAGAGAGUCGGGAAGAAUACCAGUGGCGAAGGCGUUCUGCUGGGCCGUUGCUGACACUGAGGCGCGACAGCCGUGGGGGAGCAAACAGG